AGUACAGUGGCGUACGGGUGAGUAACACGUGGGUGAUCUACCUCUUAGUGGGGGAUAACUCGGGGAAACCUGAGCUAAUACCGCAUAAGCCUGAGAAGGGAAAGGAGCAAUUCGCUGAGAGAGGAGCCCGCGGCCGAUUAGCUAGUUGGUAGGGUAAAGGCCUACCAAGGCAAUGAUCGGUAGCCGGCCUGAGAGGGCACACGGCCACACUGGCACUGAAACACGGGCCAG
rnacentral:rRNA from 1 species